rnacentral:sRNA from 1 species
UUUCUUCAGUGAGCGUAUUAGAGUCUGGGGCUGGACUUGAGCCGCCGCCGUUAAUCAUUCUAUCGAUAGUUCUCCGACCUGCUUCAUCCGUCCCAUGUACACUUUGAUAGAUAGAAUUAUUGGAAAUUUUCUAUUUUACCACCACGCAUUUGUUCUCUUUCCUCACGCCUCCUACGAUUGGAUUCUCUCUUUGCGACAUCGUUGUGUUCUUUUACUUAUUUAUCAUUUGCUCUCGUUCGCCUAAGUAAAGUUACGACGAAGAGCUUACAUGUCAGAUUAGAAAUCCAACCGCGUCAAUCAGAAAUCUAAGUUUUCAGACGGCCUAUGAUUGAGCUGGCCUUCCUUACCCGUGGUGCCAGUUAAUGCCUACAUUGUGAGUCUUGAUAAACUUUCUGCUACAAAGUAUAUUUACACAGUAUAACAUACCACAACCUUCUCGGAUCUCGGGCCCAGUACAACUACAGUACUCGGCUUAUGGUAAUUACCAUAAUAAAGUCAGCAGUGAAAUAUUAAGUACUUCAUUUCAAAUUUACUUAUUUAUGUGUCCUUCGUUAUCUUUUCCUAUAAAUACGUAAGAGCCAUUAAAAACAAGAAAGGCUUUCUCGACAAUGUGUAGUAUAAAGCAACGGUUGGUGGAUAUGUGUAGACACAGAGCUGUCUUCGAAUAAAAGUCAACGUGAUGCUUGAUGCUUAUUCGCUUCAUGCUUCCUACUUAACGUCGGUAUCUUUUCGGCUAGGUCCGAAAUCGGGCGGCAU